rnacentral:rRNA from 1 species
UGGCGGACGGGUGAGUAACGCGUGGGGAACCUGCCCUGUACAGGGGGAUAACACUUAGAAAUAGGUGCUAAUACCGCAUAAGCGCACAGUAUCGCAUGAUACAGUGUGGAAAAACUCCGGUGGUACAGGAUGGACCCGCGUCUGAUUAGCUGGUUGGCGGGGUAACGGCCCACCAAGGCGACGAUCAGUAGCCGGCCUGAGAGGGUGAACGGCCACAUUGGGACUGAGACACGGCCCAAACUCCUACGGGAGGCAGCAG